rnacentral:rRNA from 1 species
AAACUAACAAGGAUUCCCCUAGUAACGGCGAGUGAAGAGGGAAGAGCCCAAGAUUGAAAGCUGGCGUCUUCGGCGUCCGCAUUGUAAUCUCAAGAAGUGUUUUCCGCUUCGGACCAAGCCUAAGUCCCCUGGAAAGGGGCAUCAUAGAGGGUGAUAAUCCCGUACAUGGCUUGGAGCGCCCGAGGCUUUGUGAUACGCUUUCUAAGAGUCGAGUUGUUUGGGAAUGCAGCUCAAAAUGGGUGGUAAAUGCCAUCUAAGGCUAAAUAUUGGGGAGAGACCGAUAGCGAACAAGUACAGUGAUGGAAAGAUGAAAAGAACUUUGAAAAGAGAGUUAAACAGUACGUGAAAUUGCCAAAAGGGAAGGGUAGGAGGUCAGAGAUGCGGCCUGGGAUUCAGCCUUGCUUUUGCUUGGUGUUUUUCCCAGAUUGCAGGCCAACGUCGGUUUUGGGCACUGGAGAAGGGUAGGAGGAACGUGGCACCCCUCGGGGUGUGUUAUAGCCUCCUACUGGAUACAGCGACCGAGACCGAGGACAGCAGCGUACUCGCAAGAGCGGGCCUUCGGGCACCUUUACGCUUAGGGCGUUGGCAUAAUGGCCCUCUACCAC